CUGCAAGGGAAGUCUAAACUGGAGUUGGGGGUGCUCUGGCAAGACCCUUCGAUGCUCAAGUCAGUACUCUGCUUCAACAGAAAUGGAGUGCUCGAGUGAGAAUUUUAGCAGAGUUUUGAGAUAGAGUUUUUGAGCUUAGAGAAGAACAUAUCUGGGGGUCCCCUUUUAUAGAUGGAGUGCGUAACUAAUUGAUAGCGAUAUUUGUAACCGUUUGGUAGUAGGUUGUUCAGAGCCAUCCGGAGUUUGUUAUGGAGAGU
rnacentral:lncRNA from 1 species